UAGCCCUAUUCGUUUUCGACACUGGAACGACCGCCGAACGCCCGAACAUUACCAUUUACGAUGAAUGACAAUGCUUUCUUCACCAAGAAAAACCGUAAAUAUUUUUAUCACUUUCAGUCCGUAUUAAUUUCGUUACUGGAAAGUGUGGCAUGACGUGCGGCACGAGGUGGAGGGCCAAAGGAAUCCAUUUGUCUUGUGUAGCGGGCACUUUGAUUCUGUAGAAAACAUUUUAAUUUUUAAAAUGGAAUCCUUGUAGGACUUUUCUCUUACUGUUAGUAUCGAUCAGAUUACUAGACUUCAUGCACCUUGGACGUCAGAGUCUAACCAAGAGGUUUGCUUCCGGAGCAGAAGAGAAAGUCAUUCCAGUUUUCGAAGCACAUCACAAUUUUCUACAGAAAUUUGCCCGGAUCUGUCGUAUUCAUCAGCCAAUUCCAGAAAGUAAUAUUUUCUAUCGACUUUCCCACAUAACUAUUCUAAUUUUUAUUGAAGCAUGCUGGGUGUUCCUCAGGGUAAUCCUGUUUUAGUCUUGGGUCUUUCCAAUAAACCCGUUUACCAUA